CCCACCCACGAUCGCUCCCCUUCCUAAUUUGCCGACUCCCUCUCCUCCCGUGGACCGCGCCGGUUCCCCUCCACCUUCUUCCAGCGCACAGUCGGCCCCCUCCGUCUACUUCCACUGCCCCGCCGCCAACCGGCGCCGCCGCCCCUGAUCUGCCCCCAAACGGGGACGCUGCCCCCGCCCUUCCCCCAACCGGCGCCGCCGCCCCCACUCUGCCCCCAACCGUGCUUGUCGCCGUCAGCUGCCUGCAUCCCCGCCGUCGGAGGAUACCACACGCCUCCGCCGGGCCCUGCUACCUCCACCUCCUCCCAGUGGUGCCCCUCCAUGGACGGAGCACCUGGAUCUGGUGACGCCAAGGACCACCGGAGCUCGCGCCUUGCUCCUGCCGCCUUGUCCGCCACAUCCACUGGCACCCACCGGCCACGCAUGGUGUCCGCCGCCUCCUCCAGUAGCGCAAUAUGCCAGUCGCAGCAAACCGUCCCCUCGUCCUCCUUGAUGCGAAGGGAAGAUCCCCAACUCCGGUGAGCCCAGAACAUGACUUUCCCCAUUGCGCGGGUCUGAACUGCAACAAAUGCAAUGCUAAUGUUCAUCCUCUCUCUUUUCACUCUCUUUAUGAGGCAACACGCAUGUGAAGGCAGUUGGGCGGAAAAUAUGGUUACUGAUUUCGAAUUUUGAAUGGUGUUUCAACUGUCAUCAAAUCAUUUAAGUUUGUUUGAAUAAACUAUUGCAGUUCUUACUUGUACAAGCAGACAUUUGUAUGAAAAAUAUUCAUUUGGUGAAAAUGCUUAUGUUAGAUGAACAAAAACAGAUCGUUGGAUAUGUGUUGCCGCCUCCUUCCUAGAUCCUUGAUGCCGCCCCUCCCUCAAUCCCUGCCGCCUUCAAGUUCUGCCGCCCGUUCGAGCUCGCCGGCGUGGAGUACACGAGUCUCCAGGCAUUUAACUAUUUUGGCAUGUGAAAACUGAUGAUGUUGCUACAGCGCUAGCAUAGCACCUUUCUUUUCAUUUCUUUUCUUAUUUUCUGUCUCCCCACUCCACACAAUGUUCCUCUUUCUUUGAAUCAGAUUGAAGUAAAAAAAGUUUUGUUUCAGACAAAAA